CCUACGGGGGGCAGCAGUGAGGAAUAUUGGUCAAUGGCCGGAAGGCUGAACCAGCCAUGCCGCGUGAAGGUCAGUGCCCUAUGGGCGUUAAACUUCUUUUGUGCGGGAGCAAUAAUGGUCACGUGUGGCCAGACGAGAGUACCGUACGAAUAAGCAUCGGCUAACUCCGUGCCAGCAGCCGCGGUAAUACGGGGGAUGCAAGCGUUAUCCGGAUUUAUUGGGUUUAAAGGGUGCGUAGGCUGGGAGGUAAGUCAGCGGUGAAAUGCCCCCGCUCAACGGGGUGAAGUGCCAUUGAUACUGCCUGGCUGGAAUGCGGAUGCCGUGGGAGGAAUGUGUGGUGUAGCGGUGAAAUGCAUAGAUAUCACACAGAACACCGAUUGCGAAGGCAUCUCACGAAUCCGCGAUUGACGCUGAUGCACGAAAGCGUGGGUAUCAAACAGGAUUAGAUACCCUAGUAGUC
rnacentral:rRNA from 1 species